rnacentral:tRNA from 1 species
AUGAAAUGUAGCUUAACUGGUAAAGCACCAACGCGAGAGUUGAAGAUGGAGGUUCGAACCCUCCUAUUUCGUU